rnacentral:rRNA from 1 species
GCAUAAUAGUUUGCCUUUUAAUUGGAGGCUGGAAUGAAUGGAUAUACGAGGUUAAAGCUGUCUCAAUCUUAGUUAUAAAAAUUAGUAUUUAGGUGAGGAAACCUAAAUAACAAUGAAGGACAAAAAGACCCUAUUGAGCUUUAUUUUAAAUAGAUUUCAAAUAUUUUUAUAUUUAUACUUCUAAAAAUUUGGUUGGGGCAACAAAGGAAUAAAUAUAUCUUCCUUUAUAUUUUAGAGACUUAACUCUUUUAAACGAUCUAAAAAUUUAAUAAAGAGAAAGAGUUACCAUAGGGAUAACAGGCUAAUCCUUUUGGAGAGUUCAUAUUGAUAAAAGGGUUUGGCACCUCGAUGUUGGCUUAGAAUAUCCUAUAGGUGCAGCAGUCUAUAAGGGUUGGUUUGUUCAACCAUUAAAAUUCUA